CUUAAAUCUUAUUAUGUGAUAAUACAUUGUAUGAACAGAUAACUCUUAAUAUCAGAAGUGCUAAAAAACCACGACCCUCGACAAUGCCUCGAACAGAGAAAAGAAAACGUAGGCGAACUCGCAGGCAGUCACCCAGUUCAUCUUCAUCAUCGAGCUCAUCUUCGUCGUCGAGUAGCAACAGUGAUCGCGGAAGAAGUAAGCGACCUCGCCGCCGUUCGUUGAAU
rnacentral:lncRNA from 1 species